GCGAUGUUGGACGAAGUUACCACCUAUCAGGUUGAAGGUAGUAUAGUUGACUACCUUGCCGCUGACGGGUAACGGAGAAUUGGGGUUCGAUUCCGGAGAGGGUGCCUGAGAAAUGGCAACCAUGACUACGGUCAGCAGCAGGCGCGCAAAUUGCCCAAUGCCAAUACCUCGGCGAGGCAGUGACGAAAAAUAAUAACUCUGUUGCACGAUGUGUACCAGAGAUUGAAAUGGAUUGUAUCUAGUUGACACUGCUGAGUAUCAAUUGGAGGGCAAGUCUGGUGCCAGCAGCCGCGGUAAUUCCAGCUCCAAGAGCGUAUAUAAAUGUUGUUGCGGUUAAAAAGCCCGUAGUUGGAUUUGAGGGAACCGUUUAGAACUGGCCCUGAGUUGCCUCCGGCUCCUUGGGAUCACCAGUUCAAUCACGAACGGUGCUCUGCGCAAUGCGGGAGUGGUCACCGCCGAGCUCGUCCUUAUGGGUGAGGGAGGCAUUCCAAAGGUGCGCCCGCAGACGCCACUGUGAGUAAAACAGAGUGUUCAAGGCACCCAGAAUGUUGGGUGAAUGUCAAAGCAUGGAAUGGCAAAGCAUCGACCACUGUUGGCCUGUUUUGUUGGUUUUUUUUCCUUCAGUGAGGAAAACUCGUGGCGGGUUUGGCGUGCGCUUUGCGUGCGUUGAGCGCGUUCACACACGGGAUCAAUAGGAGCACAGGGGGCCAUGAGUACGGGAGGGUGAGUGGUGAAAUACUGAGACCCCUCCCAGACUGACGUCAGCGAAAGCACUUGGCUAUUGUGCUUUCAUUAAUCAAGGACGAGAGAUAGGGGAUCGAAGAGGAUUAGACACCCUCGUAGUCCUUUCCUUAAAUUCUGCAGACUUGGGAUUGGUUAGCAGUCUCCAUUUUGACCUGAUCAGCACCUUCCUUCCGUAUCGAGAAAUCAAAGUCUUUGUGUUCCGGGGGGAGUACAUUCGCAAGGCUGAAACUUAAAGGAAUUGACGGAGAACCACCACCAGUCGUGGAUUGUGUGGCUUAAUUCGACCCAACACGGGAAAUUUUACCAGCACAGGACAUGGUCAGGAUUGCCCAGUUAAUAGCCUCUGCUUGAUUCCAUGAAGGGUGGUGCAUGGCCGCUUCUGGUUGGUGAAUGUGAUUUGUCUGCUUAAUUGCGAUAACGAACGAGAUCUCUGCCAAUUACUAGAGCUGCCUUUGCUUGUACGUCGGGCGUGUGCCUGGUUACUUCUGUGAUCACUCCCACGCCGCGGAGAAGGCAGAAGCUUACUUAUUGGGAUUAUGCGGUCUUCAAACGCAUUGAAACGAGAGCCCAAAGCAGGUCUGUGAUGCUCCUAAAUGCGCUGGGCCGCACGCGCAAUACACUGACUUCGACAACAAGCUUUUGCUUUGCAGCCUGACCCGAAGGGGCCGGGGAAUCUCAGAGCCGAAGUCGUGCUGGGGAUUGAUGCUUGCAAUUAUUCUCCAUGAACGAGGAAUGUCUUGUAGGCGCGUUUCAUCAGAACGCACCGAAUACGUCCCUGGUUCUUGUACACACCGCCCGUCGUUGCCUGUAAUGGGUUGUGAGUAGAGCCAUUUGGAGACGAUACGGGCACG
rnacentral:rRNA from 1 species